UUGUUGAGUCUUAUAUUAUUUAAAAUUACUGUGUGGGCCUAAAAUUAGCCAUCACAAAAGUUUGUUAUAAAAUAGCAAAGUAUAUUAAAAAUAUUAUUAUAUGUAGCACCAUAAAAACUUAUAAGAACAAUGAUCUAAACUAAAAGAUUUAAUAUGCCUAUGCUAGGAUGAGUAUUAUAAAGUUAUAUAUUAGGUAAAACUAGUACUUCUAAAAAAAUAUUUUUUAUAUAAAUUAAAGAGAAGGAAUUUGGCAAAUAUUGUUUCGCCUGUUUAUCAAAAACAUGGCUCUUUGAAAAGAACAAAUAGAGAGUCGAACCUGCCCGGUGAAUUAUUUUAACGGCCGCGGUACCCUGACCGUGCAAAGGUAGCAUAAUCAUUUGCCUUAUAAUUGAAGGCUAGCAUGAAUGGUCUGACGAAAGCAAUACUGUCUCCUCUUUAUUUUUUAGAAAUUAACUUAUAGGUGAAGAGGCCUAUAUUAUAUUGAAG
rnacentral:rRNA from 1 species